rnacentral:rRNA from 1 species
GACGAACGCUGGCGGCGUGCCUAAUACAUGCAAGUCGAACGCAGUGGGGACGGGUGAGUAACACGUGGGUAACCUCCCAUCAGAGGGGAUAACACUUGGAAACAGGUGCUAAACCGAUAGUGAUGGAUGGACCCGCGGUGCAUUAGCUAGGUGGUGAGGUAACGGCUCACCAAGGCCACGAUGCAUAGCGGACCUGAGAGGGGGAUCAGCCACACCGGGACUGAGACACGGCCCAGACUCCUACGGGAGGCAGCGGAAGGGAAUGUUAGGCAAUGGACGAAAGUCUGACCGGGAAAAGCCGCGUGGGGGAAGAAGGUUGUCGGAUCGUAAAACUCUGUUGUUAGAGAAGCGGUAUCUAACCAGAAAGCCACGGCUAACUACGUGCCAGCCGCCGCGGUAAUAC